UAGGCCUCGUUUGGUAACGGAGUAUUCGCAGGGAUUGGCGAGUAUUAUCCCGGCCUAACUUUGAAUCCCCGAUUUUCCCCAAAAGCCUAUUUGGUGCUAGAGUUUUGGGCCGAUUUUAUCCCCGCUCAUCCCCGUCUAUCCCCGUCCCCGGCCCAUUUUUGUCUUGGACACAAUCCACGACCCAGACCCCGUGUUUUAUCCCCGUCCCCGGUGAAGAUCUAGCUACAGGCAGCACGCAAGGCAACCGGCGCGAGCGGUGGCGAGCGGAUCAACGGCGAGCGGAUCGGCGGCUAGCGGAGGUGCAGGAGCUGAGGGAGGGACGAGAGCUACGGGAGGGGUGGAACAUCUUACCGGCGAAGACAGAAGUGGAUCCCGCCGAGCCGCUCCACAUCGCCGCCGCCGUUGUUAUUGGGUUUUGACCGGCAACACCACCUCCCGACGGUCCUGUACUCCGGCCUACAUGCUCUCCGACUAUCUUAAUGCCUGACUUGUGUUUCUUGAAGAUAGCAUGGACCAAAUCAACUCGCUUCAAUUUUCUGCGCAAGGGCAUCCUCGAGGAAGCGGGCAGCUGCUGCCCCAUCUGCGACACUCCCCUUGAAGCUCCAGCUCACAUCAUGUUCGAAUGCAGCUUCGCUCGCUGCUUCUGGUCCAUCUUGACGCGGCGCCGGCCGACACCACUCGCCCCGUGUCCGCGGCGUCCACCUGCCCCCUCCCGCCCUCCGCUCCUCGCCGCACUGCGUCGAUGCUCUGAUUACUCUGCCUAUGGCACCUUUGGAAGCAUAGGAACGGGUCGUCUUCAACGGUGAUCACUCAAAAAAAUCAAGAUAGUUUCGAAGAGUCGUCAUCUUUUGUCAUAGAAAAAAUUGCCAGGAAUAGUUGUAUGGAAUAUGUAAUGUAUGCUAAACUGUCGUGAAUUAUGUGACUAAAACUCUUGCGUCAUGGAUGUUGAUAACUGUUGGAUGUUGACUUUACAGAGUUAUGUUCAUCUAUUGCCAUAAAAAUUGAAUCUUUUGUAGUUUA